rnacentral:rRNA from 1 species
UGGGGAAUAUUGGACAAUGGGGGCAACCCUGAUCCAGCGAUGCCGCGUGAGUGAAGAAGGCCUUCGGGUCGUAAAGCUCUUUAGGUUGGGAAGAAGUUUAUAGGCUGAAUAAUCCUGUAGAUUGACGGUACCGACAGAAUAAGCACCGGCAAACUCUGUGCCAGCAGCCGCGGUAAUACAGAGGGUGCGAGCGUUAAUCGGAUUUACUGGGCGUAAAGGGUGCGUAGGCGGUAAGAUGUGUGUGAUGUGAAAGCCCCGGGCUUAACCUGGGAAGUGCAUUGCAAACUAUCUAACUGGAGUAUAUGAGAGGGUGGUGGAAUUUCCGGUGUAGCGGUGAAAUGCGUAGAGAUCGGAAGGAACGUCAAUGGCGAAGGCAGCCACCUGGCAUAAUACUGACGCUGAGGCACGAAAGCGUGGGGAGCGAACAGGAUUAGAUACCCCGGUAGUCC